rnacentral:rRNA from 1 species
UACGUAGGGUGCGAGCGUUGUCCGGAAUUACUGGGCGUAAAGAGCUCGUAGGUGGUUUGUCGCGUUGUUCGUGAAAACUCACAACUCAAUUGUGGGCGUGCGGGCGAUACGGGCAGACUGGAGUACUGCAGGGGAGACUGGAAUUCCUGGUGUAGCGGUGGAAUGCGCAGACAUCAGGAGGAACACCGGUGGCGAAGGCGGGUCUCUGGGCCGAAACUGACGCUGAGGAGCGAAAGCGUGGGGAGCAAACGGG